rnacentral:rRNA from 1 species
AUUGAACGCUGGCGGCAGGCCUAACACAUGCAAGUCGAGCGGAUGAAGAGAGCUUGCUCUCUGAUUUAGCGGCGGACGGGUGAGUAAUGCCUAGGAAUCUGCCUGGUAGUGGGGGAUAACGUCCGGAAACGGGCGCUAAUACCGCAUACGUCCUACGGGAGAAAGCAGGGGACCUUCGGGCCUUGCGCUAUCAGAUGAGCCUAGGUCGGAUUAGCUAGUUGGUGAGGUAAUGGCUCACCAAGGCGACGAUCCGUAACUGGUCUGAGAGGAUGAUCAGUCACACUGGAACUGAGACACGAUCCAGACUCCUACGGGAGGCAGCAGUGGGGAAUAUUGGACAAUGGGCGAAAGCCUGAUCCAGCCAUGCCGCGUGUGUGAAGAAGGUCUUCGGAUUGUAAAGCACUUUAAGUUGGGAGGAAGGGCAGUAAGUUAAUACCUUGCUGUUUUGACGUUACCGACAGAAUAAGCACCGGCUAACUUCGUGCCAGCCGCCGCGGUAAUAC